UGUGUGUGUGUGUGUGUGUGUGUGUGAAGGUGGGUACUAUGGCAUGCUGUGUGUGUGUGUGUGUGUGUGUGUGUGUGUGAGAGUGCGUGUCUCUCUGCAUGUGCGUGUUUGUGUGUGUGUGUGCGUGUGCGUGUGCGUGUCUAUGUGCGUGUGUACGUGGUGUCGUGAAAACUAUCCAGCAGCGAAUAAAAGGAAGAGAAAAAAAAGAAAAUAAAUAUGAAGGAGCAAAAAACGUCUCUAAAAUAUUUUCUUUCUGAUUCCUUUUUCUUCUCUUCCUUUUUUUUUUCUUUUACUUUCUGCGUUCAUGUUUUUUUAUUGCAAUUCCACCAUGCAAUUGCUUGGGUCCACUUAUUCUUCGGUUGAUCUUGAGUCCAAAUCCGUUAGUGCGAAGUGAAGACAGGCGGGAAGAGAAUAAGUGAAAAAAAGGAAAGAAAGAAAGAAAGAAAGAAUGAAAGAAUGCCAUUAGAGAAACAGAGAAAGAAGGAGACAUAUAGAGAGAGACACACGAAGCAACGGAAAGAGAAUGACAGGGCAGACAAGGAGAAAGAAAGGAAGGAAGGAAGAAAUCUAGAGAGAAAAAAAGAAAAGAAGGAAAGAAAGAAUGAAGAAUGAAAGAAUGCCAUUACAGAAACAGUGAGAGAAAGAGAUUUAGAUAGAAAGACACACAAAGCAACGGAAAGAGAAUGAAAGGGGAGACAAGGAGGAAGAAAGGAAGGAAGAAAGGAAAGAAAGAAGAAUGAAGAAUGAAAGAAUGCCAUUAGAGAAACAGUGAAAGAAGGAGACAUGUACAGAGAGACACACGAAGCAACGAAAGAGAAUGAAAGGGGAGACAAGGAGGAAGAAAGGACGGAAGAAAGGAAAGAAAGAAGAAUGAAGAAUGAAAGAAUGCCAUUAGAGAAACAGUGAAAGAAGGAGACAUAGACAGAGAGACACACAAAGCAACGAAAGAGAAUGAAAGGGGAGACAAGGAGGAAGAAAGGAAGGAAGAAAGGAAAGAAAGAAAGAAUGAAAGAAUGCCAUUAGAGAAACAGUGAAAGAAGGAGACAUAGACAGAGAGACACACAAAGCAACGAAAGAGAAUGACAGGGCAGACAAGGAGAAAGAAAGGAGGGAAGGAAGAAAGGUAGAAAGAAAAAGAGGAAAGAAGGAAAGAAAGAAAUAAUGAAGAAUGAAAGAAUACCAUUACAGAAACAGUGAGAGAAAGAGAUUUAGAUAGAAAGACACACGAAGCAACGGAAAGAGAAUGAAAGUUGAGACAAGGAGGAAGAAAGGAAGGAAGGAAGAAAUCUAGAGAGAAAAAAAGAAAAGAAGGAAAGAAUGAAAUAAUGAAGAAUGAAAGAAUGCCAUUAGAGAAACAGUGAAAGAAGGAGACAUAGACAGAGAGACACACAAAGCAACGAAAGAGAAUGAAAGGGGUGACAAGGAGAAAGAAGGGAAGGAAGAGAAAAAGGUAGAAAGAAAAGAAGAAAAGAAGGAAAGAAAGAAUGAAAGAAUGAAAGAAUGCCAUUACAAAAACAGUGAGAGAAAGAGAUUAAGAUAGAAAGACACACGAAGCAACGGAAAGAGAAUGAAAGGGGAGACAAGGAUAAAGAAAGGAAGGAAGAAAGGAAAGAAAGAAAUAAUGAAGAAUGAAAGAAUGCCAUUAGAUAAACAGUGAAAGAAGGAGACAUAGACAGAGAGACACACGAACCAACGAAAGAGAAUGAAAGGGGAGACAAGGAGAAAGAAAGGAGGGAAGGAAGAAAGAAAGAAAAGCCUGAUGCAAGAUAGAAAAUUAGAUAGAGAAACAGAGAGAAAAGACAAACAGGUGAAACACAGAUAAUAAAAAUCAACAGAGAAAUAAAACAGAAAAAAAC